rnacentral:rRNA from 1 species
CAGUAGCCGCGGGAAAACGGAGGGUGCGAGCGUUAAUCGGAAUUACUGGGCGUAAAGCGUGCGUAGGCGGUUCGUUAAGUCUGUUGUGAAAGCCCCGGGCUCAACCUGGGAAUGGCAAUGGAUACUGGCGAGCUAGAGUGUGUCAGAGGAUGGUGGAAUUCCCGGUGUAGCGGUGAAGUGCGUAGAGAUCGGGAGGAACAUCAGUGGCGAAGGCGGCCAUCUGGGACAACACUGACGCUGAGGCACGAAAGCGUGGGGAGCAAACAGGAUUAGAUACCCGUGUAGUCCCUGUCUCUUAUAA